UACAUUUUGGUGUAUGGUGCACAGGAACUUUUGAUGUUUUUGGGAAUAGUUUAACUCUAUUGGAUGUAA
rnacentral:tRNA from 1 species